CAGAUGACCAGCAGACCCUUGCUGCCCUGGGAGUUCAGCCCCCUCUACUGUGGCCCUGUGGUCAUUUGGACUGGGAGGAGCUUGUGUUCUGCUCUGGUGAGCUCUGAGAGGAACCAUGCCUCCUCCUUCUCAUGGACCAGAGGAUCUGGAUCUAAGAAGGUGCACGUACAGAUGUGCAGAGUGUGCAUGGUGAGGGGGGCUGACGCC